GAACAAAGAAAAAUGUCAUCAACUGGUGAUGCAAGAUGAGCCCAAUCACUAAACACUGUUUAGCAAAGUCCAAAUUCUGCAACCAGACAGUCCAAGGCGUUUCAUACACUUAAGCAGAGCUGCUGCACAAUGCACGUGUCCUUCUGCUUCUGAGAAUCCAACAAUCCUUUUGCUAAGGAAGAAAAUCAGCUGGAAUGAAUACUGUCAUGUCUUCUUGAAGAAAGCUUUCAAUACACCAUGCUGAUACGUGUGUAGGGGCCUCCCUUUGAUGUCCCCAGUCAAGAAGGCAGAAAAUGCCUCUGGGUACCUCCCUGCUCUGUUUCCCCAAAGGCUAGAUGGCCUUGCUUGCUUCACAUACACAGGUAUUUAUUUCUCUAGUAAGAUGAACAGAGGCCGGUUAUUUUUUCAGCCUACCUUGUGGGGCCAGAAUAAUGUGAAGAGGAAAAGAAAGGAAAGAAGAAAAGAUAAGUAAAAGCUUAUUGUGAGACUCAGAUCCUUGCAUUAUAUGCUCUGGGGUUGAUCUAAAAGUGAGGAUAAAAAUCAGAGAAUUGGGCAAAACAUCUACUUGGGAACACAGAGAAGUGGUGAAACCCUUAACCUUUAUCCAUCUGGAGAACCCUCCUCUGUUACAACAAAUGAAGUUAUAUACUGGUAAUUACAAAAAACAAAAGGCUACAGGUUCAAGGAAUUCCUUGGAAGUCUUGUCUAUACUUGCUGCCUCCAAUUUCUCUCAACUCAUUCACUUUAAAAAAAAACACCUUACUAAAAUAUAAUUU